GGGGAAUAUUGCACAAUGGGCGAAAGCCUGAUGCAGCAACGCCGCGUGAGUGAUGACGGUCUUCGGAUUGUAAAGCUCUGUCUUUUGGGACGAUAAUGACGGUACCUGAGGAGGAAGCCACGGCUAACUACGUGCCAGCAGCCGCGGUAAUACGUAGGUGGCAAGCGUUGUCCGGAUUUACUGGGCGUAAAGGGAGCGUAGGUGGAUAUUUAAGUGAGAUGUGAAAGCCCCGGGCUCAACCUGGGGACUGCAUUUCAAACUGGGUAUCUAGAGUGCAGGAGAGGAAAGCGGAAUUCCUAGUGUAGCGGUGAAAUGCGUAGAGAUUAGGAAGAACAUCAGUGGCGAAGGCGGCUUUCUGGACUGUAACUGACGCUGAGGCAUGAAAGCGUGGGGAGCAAAC
rnacentral:rRNA from 1 species